CAUUCUUUUCUGCCUUUAAAAUACGUAACAUACAGCGAUUACUGGUGCAGAUGAAUUGCGAGUAUGUUAAUAGAAUGAAUGAUGAUAUUGAAUCUUUGGUAUUUGAUAUGAUUUGGUCUGCAAGCAUUUUCUCUUACUUGAACUCUUACUUUUUUUUAAUUUAAAAAUAUCACAUCUGAUUUCAGGGAGUAAAAAACAGCUUUCUGAUUGCCCAAAAUAUAAGGUCAACAGUUACCUGCUGUUUAUGCGAAAAGAUAAGAUGUAUCUAUUCAAAGAAAAUUCUGACACUUAGGGGCACUAGGAGCUCUUGUAAUACCUGCAGGUGAUGUUCUUCGUGGAAAAAUGUUUGUUUGUUUUCAUGAUCAGUUAAACUGCACAAUGCACACAGCCAUUGAGUUUGCAUACUAUGCAGAGGCAGCCAAAGGCACAAGAAAAGAUCUUUACUGCUAUUGUGCUUCAGCUGAUUUUCAAAAAGGACCAAAAUCUUCUAAAGAAAUUCCGCGUGGAUCUUCCAGUUUGUGUGAAUUGCCUAAAAAAGGGCUAGAAAUUCCAAAAGAAACCCUAUGAAAUGGACUGUUAAAAUCAAAUCUUAAAGUUUGACUAUCAGUUUUUGUUCACUGAAUGUGUUAUUUUUUUUAGCACCCUUUUGUAUAUGUUUAUCUUGUUUGACAUGAACAAAGAAAAGAAAUAAACAUUUUCACUGGG